GAUGAACGCUGGCGGCGUGCCUAAUACAUGCAAGUCGAGCGAACGGACGAGAAGCUUGCUUGUCUGAUGUUAGCGGCGGACGGGUGAGUAACACGUGGAUAACCUGCCUAUAAGACUGGGAUAACUUCGGGAAACCGGAGCUAAUACCGGAUAAUAUUUUGAACCGCAUGGUUCAAAAGUGAAAGACGGUCUUGCUGUCACUUAUAGAUGGAUCCGCGCUGCAUUAGCUAGUUGGUAAGGUAACGGCUUACCAAGGCAACGAUGCAUAGCCGACCUGAGAGGGUGAUCGGCCACACUGGAACUGAGACACGGUCCAGACUCCUACGGGAGGCAGCAGUAGGGAAUCUUCCGCAAUGGGCGAAAGCCUGACGGAGCAACGCCGCGUGAGUGAUGAAGGUCUUCGGAUCGUAAAACUCUGUUAUUAGGGAAGAACAUAUGUGUAAGUAACUGUGCACAUCUUGACGGUACCUAAUCAGAAAGCCACGGCUAACUACGUG
rnacentral:rRNA from 1 species